rnacentral:rRNA from 1 species
UGAGUAACCUGCCCUGGACUUUGGGAUAACCCUCGGGAAACGGGGGCUAAUACCGGAUAUGACGCACUCUCGCAUGGGAUGUGUGUGGAAAGUUUUUCGGUCUGGGAUGGGCUCGCGGCCUAUCAGCUUGUUGGUGAGGUAAUGGCUCACCAAGGCGACGACGGGUAGCCGGCCUGAGAGGGCGAUCGGCCACACUGGGACUGAGACACGGCCCAGACCUCCGUACGGGGAGCA